UACGUAGGGUGCAAGCGUUAAUCGGAAUUACUGGGCGUAAAGCGUGCGCAGGCGGUGAUGUAAGACAGUUGUGAAAUCCCCGGGCUCAACCUGGGAACUGCAUCUGUGACUGCAUCGCUGGAGUGCGGCAGAGGGGGAUGGAAUUCCGCGUGUAGCAGUGAAAUGCGUAGAUAUGCGGAGGAACACCGAUGGCGAAGGCAGUCCCCUGGGCCUGUACUGACGCUCAUGCACGAAAGCGUGGGGAGCAAACAGG
rnacentral:rRNA from 1 species